GUGGGUAUAGCUCAGUGGUAAAGUGCGUGCUUAGCAUGCAUGAGGCCCUGGGUUCAAUCCCUGGCACCUCCG
rnacentral:tRNA from 1 species